rnacentral:rRNA from 1 species
AACGAACGCUGGCGGCAUGCCUAACACAUGCAAGUCGAACGAGACCUUCGGGUCUAGUGGCGCACGGGUGCGUAACGCGUGGGAAUCUGCCCUUGGGUUCGGAAUAACAGUUGGAAACGACUGCUAAUACCGGAUGAUGACGUAAGUCCAAAGAUUUAUCGCCCAAGGAUGAGCCCGCGUAGGAUUAGCUAGUUGGUGAGGUAAAGGCUCACCAAGGCGACGAUCCUUAGCUGGUCUGAGAGGAUGAUCGGCCACACUGGGACUGAGACACGGCCCAGACUCCUACGGGAGGCAGCAGUGGGGAAUAUUGGACAAUGGGCGAAAGCCUGAUCCAGCAAUGCCGCGUGAGUGAUGAAGGCCUUAGGGUUGUAAAGCUCUUUUACCCGGGAUGAUAAUGACAGUACCGGGAGAAUAAGCUCCGGCUAACUCCGUG